UACGAAGGUGGCAAGCGUUGUUCGGAUUCACUGGGCGUACAGGGUGUGUAGGCGGUUUGGUAAGCCUUCUGUUAAAGCUUCGGGCCCAACCCGGAAAGCGCAGAGGGUACUGCCAGGCUAGAGGGCGGGAGAGGAGCGCGGAAUUCCCGGUGUAGCGGUGAAAUGCGUAGAGAUCGGGAGGAAGGCCGGUGGCGAAGGCGGCGCUCUGGAACGUACCUGACGCUGAGGUGCGAAAGCGUGGGGAGCGAACAGG
rnacentral:rRNA from 1 species